UAUUUUGAAGACAUUGCUGGCUGAAUUAAUAGAAAAAUGUAUUGAAGGAAAGAGUCAUCCAAAGUUGUUAUUGAGGAGGACUGAAUCUGUUGCUGAAAAAAUGUUAUCUUCAUGGUUUACUUUCCUUUUGUACAAGUUUUUAAAGGAAUGUGCAGGUGAUCCAUUGUUUAUGUUAUAUAGAGCAAUCAAACAACAAGUAGAUAAAGGACCAGUUGAUUCUAUUACCAGUGAAGCACGUUAUUCAUUAUCAGAAGAAAAAUUAAUUAGACAAUCAAUUGAAUA